rnacentral:lncRNA from 1 species
AACUACGCGAGAGAAGUUCUCCAGUGCGCUGUGGAGAACCGAGUUCUUCCAAACGUCACGCAGGAGGAGCCGGAGAUCCUGGGAGAAACCAGCGAGAUCAAUCACAAAAACAUCACUUUGGAGGAUCAAUCGCAAGCACUCACCUCAAAGAAGAGCUCCAAUUCUUCUUCUUCUUCCGGCAGAUCCAUUGCCGUGCUGGUCACUUCGCUCAACCAAGCUCACCUCGAAGCGUUGCGAGCAACGUACUUAAACGCUGCCACCGAGGGAGGGAUUCGAGUUAGCAUCCAUCAGCCAAGCCACGAAGAACAUCAAAAAACCGGAGAAACUCACCACGAUGAGAAGGCCUUGAUGGAGAUCUUUCUUCUCUCGCUGGCUGACACUCUCAUCACCAGCCCUCUGUCGAC